CCUACGGGAGGCAGCAGUGGGGAAUAUUGCGCAAUGGGCGAAAGCCUGACGCAGCGACGCCGCGUGAGGGGUGAAGGUCUUCGGAUCGUAAACCUCUGUCAGCAGGGAAGAACGGUCACUGUGCUAAUCAGCAGUGAAUUGACGGUAACUGCAAAGGAAGCACCGGCUAACUCCGUGCCAGCAGCCGCGGUAAUACGGAGGGUGCGAGCGUUAAGCGGAAUUACUGGGCGUAAAGCGCUCGUAGGCGGUAUGUCAAGUCAAGGGGGAAAUCCCCGCGCUCAACGUGGGAACUGCCUUUGAAACUGGCGAACUGGAGUGUGGGAGAGGAUAGUGGAAUUCCAGGUGUAGGAGUGAAAUCCGUAGAUAUCUGGAGGAACAUCAGUGGCGAAGGCGACUAUCUGGCACAUAACUGACGCUGAGGAGCGAAAGCGUGGGUAGCAAACAGGAUUAGAUACCCCUGUAGUC
rnacentral:rRNA from 1 species